rnacentral:ncRNA from 12 species
UAAAAAUGAGGAUAGUGAAUGUGCCGCUAUCUCCCCUUUUAUAAAAAGGUAUGGAGAAGUGGGAAACGGCAGACCCACCAUUUUUU